UACGAAGGGGGCUAGCGUUGCUCGGAAUCACUGGGCGUAAAGCGCACGUAGGCGGAUCUUUAAGUCAGGGGUGAAAUCCUGGAGCUCAACUCCAGAACUGCCUUUGAUACUGGGGAUCUCGAGUCCGGAAGAGGUGAGUGGAACUCCGAGUGUAGAGGUGAAAUUCGUAGAUAUUCGGAAGAACACCAACGGCGAAGGCAGCUCGCUGGGACGGAACUGACGCUGAGGCGCGAAAGCGUGGGGAGCGAACAGG
rnacentral:rRNA from 1 species